GCCGCCGUGGUGAAAUCGGUAGACACGCU
rnacentral:tRNA from 1 species